GUAUGAUAUCUAUAUUUUUAUAAAUUACAAGGGGAAGUUAUAAAAAGUUAAUUAAUUUCUUCCAGCUAAACUGUUCUUGUGACAUAAAUAUUCAAAUAUACAUAUUAAAGGAAAUCUAUAGUAUUUCUUUUUAUAUAUCUUAUUUCCUUUAAUAUAUUUGUAUAUUUAAUUCUCAUCCAGCUUUGAGUAUGGAUGAGAAGUAAACAUGAGCUCAUGAAAUAGGCUUUUUUUCUAUCCUCUUGGAUAGAACAAUCUGCUUGGUUGCACAGCCACUGGCAGAUGGCUGACUUAACUUCAGGGAUACUGUUGAUCACAGCUUGUGCAACAUAGGAUCUUGCAUUGUUUUGGAGAAGCAACAAAUUGUCUAUAUGUUGUCUGGCGUUUUUGCAGAUUUCUUGUCAAAACCACUCUAACAUUGGAGAAUACGAUGCUAUAUUGACGUUCUCUUUCCUGGGAUGGACAUCCAUAAGGAGAAUACCACAAUGAUACCAAAACACCAUCACCAUGAUUUUUUUCUGUUGAUUGUAUUGCCUUAAAUUUUUCACAGCAGAAGGAACUUAACUUCCAUACCAUACUCUGCUUGCUGUCUAGUGUGAAAUGAUGAGACCAUGUUUUAUCAGUGAUGAAAAUCAUUGCUAGAAAGCAUUUUUGUUAUGAAUUUAUGAUUGCAAAUAGUCAGAAUUGCACAUUAUCUCGGCUACUUUAUGGUUUUCUUUUAAGCACUGUGGACCUAACAUGCUCCCACUUUCCUGUAUUUCAGAAAUUUGUAUAUGAUAUGCAUAGACUCUAUGAAAUAUCCAAGGCAUUGGCAGUGGAUUUCAUUGUUGGUGGUAAUUCUCGUAAAAUCAUUUGGCCAUCAUAUUAAGUGUUAUCAGCAGUCACAGUCAUGCCUGGUAAACUAUUAUUGUCCUAAUUAUUCAAACUUCUUUUGGUUGUUAAAAUACUAUGCAACCCACUUACAUGCAUUCUCCAAGCUCAUGAAAUCAUUGCCAUAAAAAGCUGCCAUCUAUAUCUAUUGAGUGCAUGGAAGUUAUGUCUUGAAGUUCAGUUACACACAAGUUAAGUUUGUGUGUGUGUGACUGAACUUCAAGAUAUAAUUUCUAUGCACUCAAUGGAAAUAGAUGAUGCAGAUUCAAUGUUGGAAUAUAAAGAUGAAAUUAACACUCAUUCUGUAUUUUACACAGGUGAUAACAUCAUCAGAACAGAAAUGAAUAAAGCAUUCCAAAAUGACACACACACACACACACACACACACACACACACACACACACAUAUAUAUAUAUAUAUAAGUGAUUUUCAAACAUUGUGUUGUGAGAGGAUCUUAGUUAUGCCACAAAAAUUUUUAAAGAUCAUUAAUUAAAUUAUUUUUGAAAGAAGUCUAAAGCAC
rnacentral:lncRNA from 1 species